rnacentral:tRNA from 2 species
AGUUAAUAAGCUAAAAAGCAUAUAUUUUGAAAAUAUAAAUUAGAAAUUAAAAAUUUUCUAUUAACUU